CCUACGGGUGGCAGCAGUGAGGAAUAUUGGUCAAUGGACGAGAGUCUGAACCAGCCAAGUCGCGUGAAGGAUGACUGCCCUAUGGGUUGUAAACUUCUUUUAUAUGGGAAUAAAACGUUCCACGUGUGGGAUUUUGUAUGUACCAUAUGAAUAAGGAUCGGCUAACUCCGUGCCAGCAGCCGCGGUAAUACGGAGGAUCCGAGCGUUAUCCGGAUUUAUUGGGUUUAAAGGGAGCGUAGGUGGAUUGUUAAGUCAGUUGUGAAAGUUUGCGGCUCAACCGUAGAAUUGCAGUUGAAACUGGCAGUCUUGAGUACAGUAGAGGUGGGCGGAAUUCGUGGUGUAGCGGUGAAAUGCGUAGAUAUCACGAAGAACUCCGAUUGCGAAGGCAGUUCACUGGACUGCAACUGACACUGAGGCUCGAAAGUGUGGGUAUCAAACAGGAUUAGAUACCCGUGUAGUC
rnacentral:rRNA from 1 species